UAAAAAAAGGUAAGCUACUAAGAGCGAAUGGUGGAUGCCUUGACUGGUAAAGGCGAUGAAGGACGUACUAGACUGCGAUAAGCUACGGGGAGCUGUCAAGAAGCUUUGAUCCGUAGAUUUCCGAAUGGGGCAACCCAAUGUAUAGAGAUAUACAUUACCUAUAUAGGAGCGAACGAGGGGAAUUGAAACAUCUUAGUACCCUCAGGAAAAGAAAUCAAUAGAGAUUGCGUCAGUAGCGGCGAGCGAAAGCGCAAGAGGG
rnacentral:rRNA from 1 species